rnacentral:tRNA from 1 species
AAGCUCCGAGGUGUAAUCACAUCAGAUUGCAAAUCUGAAGAAGCAGGCUAAUACUUGCCGGGGCUU